UACGUAGGGUCCGAGCGUUGUCCGGAAUUAUUGGGCGUAAAGGGCUCGUAGGCGGUUCGUCACGUCGGGAGUGAAAACUCGGGGCUUAACCCCGAGCCUGCUUCCGAUACGGGCAGACUAGAGGUAGGCAGGGGAGAGCGGAACUCCUGGUGUAGCGGUGGAAUGCGCAGAUAUCAGGAAGAACCCCGGUGGCGGAGGCGGCUCUCUGGGCCUUACCUGACGCUGAGGAGCGAAAGCGUGGGUAGCGAACAGG
rnacentral:rRNA from 1 species